UCACAUGGAAAAUCUCUCUUCUUCUCUUUCUCUCGCACACAUACACACACAUGCAAACACACAGAGAGAGAAAGAGCCUGUUGUAGAGUAAGACGCUGGGCAGGCCAAGGCUCAGGUCCUGACUGCCACUGACCAGCUGUGUGAGCCCGUGCAUGUCACUUUUCCUCUCUGCAACUCAGUUUCUCAUCUGUGCAGGGGUCAAGCAAAACCAACUCCCUCUUUGGAUUCCUGGACUUCAGAAACGGUCUGGGA
rnacentral:lncRNA from 10 species